rnacentral:rRNA from 1 species
UACGUAGGGUGCGAGCGUUGUCCGGAAUUACUGGGCGUAAAGAGCUCGUAGGUGGUUUGUCGCGUUGUUCGUGAAAACUCACAGCUUAACUGUGGGCGUGCGGGCGAUACGGGCAGACUGGAGUACUGCAGGGGAGACUGGAAUUCCUGGUGUAGCGGUGGAAUGCGCAGAUAUCAGGAGGAACACCGGUGGCGAAGGCGGGUUUCUGGGCAGUAACUGACGCUGAGGAGCGAAAGCGUGGGGAGCGAACAGG